UUGGAAUCACUAGUAAUCGCGGAUCAGCAUGCCGCGGUGAAUGCGUUCUCGGGCCUUGUACACACCGCCCGUCACACCAUGAGAGUCGGGAACACCCGAAGUCCGUAGCCUAACCGCAAGGGGGGCGCGGCCGAAGGUGGGCUCGAUAAUUGGGGUGAAGUCGUAACAAGGUACC
rnacentral:rRNA from 1 species